CCCGCCUCUAGGGGGGUUACAGGUGUGGUUGCUAUGUCACAUGUGUAUUAGGAGGUGGCAUAAAGGAGAUAGGCUUUGUCUAUGCUCAGUGUUCUGAUCUAUAAAUAUCUGAAUCAUUAGCAGACUAGCAUG